CUGAUAAGUGGUUAUCAAUGUUAUUUGUGAGAGGUGUCCAUGGCCUUCAUGAGAGUGAUGGGCCUCUUACUGAUCUAUUUGUUACACUGCUGGGUCAUUCAGAACCUGAACAACGAUUUAUAGCUAUUAAGCACUUGGGUAGAUUGGUUGGCCAAGAUCUAAAUGGAGAAGCAAUUCUACAGUAUUCUACAUUUUGCAGUAACUUACUUUCACCAGGCUUAAGUCAUUCAGUUUCUGAGCCGUUUCUGUCGUUUCUGGUUUCAAGUACAUGGGAUCGGGUGGUUUUGCUGGCAUCAUCUGAUACAUUAUUACCUCUGAGAAUUCAUGCUAUGGCAGUUCUCAUAUGUUAUAUACCAUAUGCUGCUCAGCACCAGUUACAAUCAUUUCUUUCUGCAACUGAUAGUGUUCUUCAUAUUUUGGGAAAAAGUGCACAUCCAACAUGUGAGGGCCCACUACUACGGCUCUCAUUAGCACUUGUUGCUGGUGCCUGCCUGUACUCACAUGCUGAAGACAUUUCUUUGAUACCUCAAGAAGUUUGGAGAAAUAUUGAGGCCAUAGGAUUGUCUAAAACUGGAGGCCAUGUCGGUGAUUUGGAGAAAAAUGCUUGUGAAGUCUUGUGUAGAUUGAGAAAUGAAGGGGAUGAAGCGAAACAGGCUUUGAUAGAAGUUCUCUCUUCAAAUUCUUCAAAACAAGUUGACUCAGAAUUUGGGAGCACCCGUGAAGAAAUUCUUCAGGUCCUUGCCAAUUUAACUUCAGUUGAUUCAUACUUUGAGGUGUUCUCAAAAAAAAU
rnacentral:misc_RNA from 1 species